rnacentral:snRNA from 1 species
UUGCUUCAGCAGCACCUAUACUAAAAUUGGAAUGAUACAGAGAAGAUUAGCAUGGCCCCUGCUCAAAGAUGACAUGCAAAUUCGUGAAGCGUUCCAUAUUUUU